rnacentral:rRNA from 1 species
CCUACGGGUGGCAGCAGUGAGGAAUAUUGGUCAAUGGACGAGAGCCUGAACCAGCCAAGUAGCGUGAAGGAUGACUGCCCUACGGGUUGUAAACUUCUUUUAUAUGGGAAUAAAAUGUUCCACGUGUGGGAUUUUGUAUGUACCUUAUGAAUAAGGAUCGGCUAACUCCGUGCCAGCAGCCGCGGUAAUACGGAGGAUCCGAGCGUUAUCCGGAUUUAUUGGGUUUAAAGGGAGCGUAGGUGGGUUGUUAAGUCAGUUGUGAAAGUUUGCGGCUCAACCGUAAAAUUGCAGUUGAAACUGGCAGUCUUGAGUACAGUAGAGGUAGGCGGAAUUCGUGGUGUAGCGGUGAAAUGCUUAGAUAUCACGAAGAACUCCGAUUGCGAAGGCAGCUCACUGGACUGCCACUGACACUGAGGCUCGAAAGUGUGGGUAUCAAACAGGAUUAGAUACCCUGGUAGUC